AAGAGCCAGCCUGGCGCUAGUGCGCCUGGCCACGGUAAUUAAAACAGCAUUUUAAAGAAAUCAGAAAGUCUAGUUCAAGAACGUGAGGGUCCUCUGACACAUCCUAGAAUUAGAAGUAGUGGAGAUGCACCUUACUUGCCAGUCAUGCUCCGAAGUCAAUGAGUACGGAGAGAACCAGGUGCGGUCAAAAUUGCCCUUGAAACUCCUUCGGGAAGGCUCCACGUGGAGGCAACGUGCCGCCUCCCAGCCCGCUUUUCCUUCCGAUGCUGUUGAAGCCCAGGUGAAGCUGUCAGCUUAUGUUUAAGGCCAUGAACUUCCGGAUCGGGGAAACCCAGCGAGGUGCUCACCCUGUGUCAGCAACGAGGGACCGGGCUCAACGGAGGACACAGCAGACUCCCCCACCUUAUGCUCCUCCUAGAACAGGAGCAAGUCACCAGGAAGGAAGGAAGGAAGUCACCAACAGAAUGGCUUGAAUUACUUCUCCUCCUUUCACUUUUCCAAACCAAUGCCUUUUGUUGAAUUUGAGUGUAUAUUAAAUGAACCUUUGAUGUGACUGAACUCAAACCAUGUAUAUAGCAAGGCAGGGUGCUGAGAACCCAGGGUCUCAGAAUGAUGUGAAAAGUUUCCACAGGCACUCUCCUUCACCCGCCUCUGCAGAGCCCUUCCCUGUGCAACAGAGCCACAGGCUCCCAAGAGAGUUCCCACUAACACCCGACGUUGAGGAACAGGGCUUGCGGGCUGCUGGAAGGGCUCUGAGUGUCCGGGCCUCUCACUGGCUGAGCCUACUGAGCUCACGCGGGGACUCAGGGUUUUAAGUUGACAAAUCUGAGAAGACUUUACGCUCUAGAGGAAGCUGCCUGGGUUAUGAGAUAUCAGCUCUACUUUUAUUAAAAGAUGGUGCUGCUGAUGUGCCAAGCGGAAGCGGAAGGACUUCUAAAUCCUUCUUCGUUUUUCGUGCUUUGGGACUCACGUGGGAAAUGAGUUCUUUUUCCUCCCACAUUGCUGGAUGCACAUAGGUGAGUGGUUGCUAAGAAGAUUCUUUAUGAAGGAUCAACGACUGGAGUGGGUUGGGAGUCCCUUUUGAAAAAGCAUAAAAUGGAAACACUUCUAUCCUUUGGCAUUCAGGGAGAAAAUGACACUCGCAUUCAUUAAACUUCUCCUCUGAUCAGUAUACAGGGAUUUGCAUUUACUUACAUCAUUACAGUAGAACUUCAAGCCAUUUAAAACUGUGAAAAUGUGUAUCAGUCAUUCAUGUGCUUGGUUAAUCUUUAUUCUGUCUGUACAUUGAGCCCCCAUACUUCCUAAAUCUAUCUUUCAGCCAUUAAAAAUAGCAUUAGAGAAGUGUUUUUUAAACAAAUGCCUUGAUCCUGUGUGAGAUCUGUGCCAUUCUGAAGAAAGAAUUUGAGGUGUUUCUUCUGUGUGUGCUUGAAGGUUACGUUGCCAUGGUAAUGGCUUUUUGUGAAAUAUUGGGAGAAGUGCAUCAGGAACAUUGCAUGUGGCAACUCCAUUUGGGUUCCUGUUAUUAUAGCCUGGGCAGAGCUUGACUUUUCUGGGUCCCAAACAAUCUUUCGGUAUUUUUAUAAUAACAGGAAUUUGCAUUUCUAGCCCAAGGCUGACUUUCUCCUACCUCAUGCUGCUUUUAGAACAACCACAAAGAGAGUCAUUAUGGAAAUGGCUUUGUAUCAGGUAUUACAGAGAAACAAAGUGAUUUUUAUAGCAUCUCAAACAUGUAGAGCUCUUUCUCCAGAAUUCCUUCACCAAUGCGUUAUCACUACUUCUUAAAGCCGAGGAGCAUCCCGUAGAACAAUUGUCAAGAACUGGAACCAUUUAUUUUGCAUUUUUUUCACAUUUGCUCUCAUUUACUCAGAACAGUACAUAUCUUUUGUGAAAAUACAUCAAGAAUUGGGUGUGCUUUCGGGGCCUGAUCAGAAAUGUGAGUCAGGAUUAAUAGAAAAUAGAAAUCAUAAUCUGGAUGCUGCAGUGUCAGCAUCUUUUUGAGCUCGAUGGAUAGACAAGUAUUUGCAUUUAAAUAAUUCAAGUUCAUCUUGUCUUUAGCAACUGUUGGGCUCUCUCAAGCCUUUGGGAGGCCAAACUGUAUUUUCUAAAUUGGCCUAUAUUGCAAUGCACUUUAAUUUGGAUGCAUAAUAGAUAAGUACAAAGGUAUUUCAUUAGGUCCUUGUUCUAUAAUUUCCAUCCAUCGCCAGGAAAUGUUGCCCAUAUGUUUUCCAUGAAUCGGUGACAUUUUAAGGAUGUUGAUGAGCAGGUUUUUCAGAGGAUGCCCCAUUUAUUCACGCGUUUGUCCUUUCCAUAGAUGUUACUGAGCACCCACUUUGUGCCGAGGAUGUUAAGGCAAUGCCACACAUCACUUGGCUGGCAGAGUUCUCAAGUUCCUAACUGGUUCCAAGUGGGAGUCUGUGGCCAGAGGCCCCCCCGUUGCCUGGGCUCUGCUAGCUUUGGGACUUUCUCCCAGAUCUUCACUGUCAUAGCCAUUUUGCAAUGGCGCUUCAUCGCAAUAUCAUUCAUUCAUUCAACUGACAUUUGUUGGGCCAGGGUCACUACCAUGCUCAAGAGCUGUAAAGACAAGAGUAGUCUCUGCCCUGAGAGGCUUAGUACAGACCCGUCUGGGAUCCUGUCUGGAGAGUGAGAGCCAAAGGAGCUUGUUUUCUUGUUGACCCCACUGCAAUCAGACCUAGCCUUUCUUCUAACUCUUACAUCUCUUCAUUCCUCCUCUCCCUUUCCUCCUCUAGGCAAGGGCUUAUGAGGGUGCAAUGCCUAAAAUCAUGACACCAAGCUUCAUUUGCUGGGUGUGCCCAAGAGUACCAGAGACAGUGUUAUUGAGGAUUCGUUACAGCCAGAUGCGAUGUGAAGCACUUUGCGUGUCUUGUCUCAUUUAUCCUCACAGGAACCAUGUGAAGUAGAUACUACUAUCGUUCCUGUAUUAUGAACGAGGAAACUGAGGCUCAGAGUAACUGCUCUGAUAUCUCGUGGGUAGAUAAGUAGAAAAGCUGAGACCCAGAUCCAGUUUUGUCUUACCUGAGCGCCCAAGCUCUUAAACUGUGUGGAACAGCCAUGAUUACUCCAUAGCAAGUGAUGGGUCUAGUUCUAGGUAGGGUCCAUUCUCAUUUAUAAACUACGACAGCCAUGCUGCUGUUUUAAUUGUUGUACUUUAUUGAGAAACACAUGUCUGUUACAAGUCUCUUUCCAAACAAAUAUGUCUCAUAGACCUAGGAAGAAGAAGUAGAUACGAUUAUUUAAAGCACUUCAGAAAGAUUUAGAAAUUAAGUAAAUAGCUUCUCUUGCUUUCUUGUGAAUUCUUGUUCCACAUGUAAAAAAUAAAUUUUAUAUGUUAAGAAAUGCAAAUGUUUCCCAUGUAGUAUUUCUACACUAAGGAGUGUAAGCUUUCAGCAUAACGUGAGAGCCUAAGGUAUGUGUCAUGCGUCUUUGGCUCAUUUAAGUUUUUCUCUAUGUCUUUGGUUUUUAGCACUUGACUACAAUGUGCCUAGGGAUGGUUUUCUUUGUAUUUAUCAUGCCUGGGGUUUGCUGACCUUCCUGAAUCUGUAAAUUAAUGUCUUCACCAAAUUAAAAUUAUAAUACCAACUACUAAAGUUGGUGAGCACUGAGUGGAGCCAAAUUUUAUUAAUAACUUUGGCCUAAUUCGAUUUUUUAAUUGCACAAAACAAAGGGCCCCUUGCAUUGCCUUAAGUAAGACGGGGUUUGCCGUGAGGAUAUCCGUAGUGUACUGGACCAUGAAUGACAAGAGCGUCUUGGGAAUCCAAGGAAAACAAACAUAGGACAAGCAGUUCUUCCCUGAGGUGGAUAUAGGCAGCUCCAAGCAGAACUCAGCCUCAGAAGCAGGAGUGGGCGCAUCAGCCACCAACAGUGGGUGCUUCUCCACAGUGACACUCAGCAACCCUGUGCUCCCGCACUUCUGACUUGCUCAUUUCUUCUUUCAUGUGGUUUUCUGCUUAUCACACUGCAUCCGCUUAUUCAUCACGCAUAACUCCUAACCCUCUUUGCCAUGACAUUUCUAUGCAUCUUUUCAGCUCCAGCUCUCCCUCCUAACAACCUCACUUUCUCAGUAUCUCUUAGCUAAAAUUUCUGUGAGAGAGCAUCAGAUAGGCCUAGCUCAUGACCAUUAUCUCUGUUCAGGAAGAAUCUUUGAUGCCAUGUGUCUUGGAACACUGGUGAGCGGAUACAUAUCUCAAUGCCUGUAGGGAGGUGCCCAUUCUAGUCCCAGCAGCUUUCAGGGCACAAGGGUGCUAACAUCAGGGAAUGGAUCCUCAUGAUGCUGAAACGUGACUUCCUCGGUACUUCUUCAGCAGGGUCACGAAUGGGCCAUUUUCCAUGAGAGGGAACUAGAGGUGUGGUUGGUACCAUAAUGGACACAUCUAGUUUAUUCUGAGCACUUAUUUCCAUAUGUUAAAUUCGAAAGAUGCCCCCAGAACACAGCCAUGGUCAGUUGGACAGGCUGGACUUCCUAAUUGGUGGCCUUCAAUGUACAUUAUAAUAUUUUUAACUGAUUUUUUUGGUCUAGUUGUUCUAUCAGUUGCUGAAAGUGA
ensembl:lncRNA